UCGCGGCGAAGGUGGCUGCCGAAGUGGGCGGGGAGGUCAGGUGACCCUGCCGGCGUCCCAAGAUGGCGACGGCGGUGGCGCCCAGGAGGCCAAGGCAGCGUCCGGGCUGUUGAGGUGACUCCGCGGGGCAAGCGACGGGUCGGCCGGACCGAAGGGCGGCGGCGGACGCACGGCCGCCUCGCGUGCGCAGCCGGGGCUGGGCGGUGCCGCAGCGGCACCGGGGGAUGCUGGUGCUGGGCCGGGCCUCUCACUCCUCAACUUAGGGCGGCGGCGGGCCCGCACCCCUGGUUCCCGGGCCAUGGCGCUGAGGGAACUCAAAGUGUGCCUGUUGGGGGAUACGGGUGUGGGUAAAUCGAGCAUAGUAUGGCGGUUCGUGGAGGACAGUUUUGAUCCGAAUAUCAAUCCAACCAUAGGGGCAUCCUUUAUGACCAAGACUGUCCAGUACCAAAAUGAGCUACAUAAAUUCCUAAUCUGGGAUACAGCUGGACAAGAACGAUUCCGUGCCUUGGCACCGAUGUACUAUCGAGGCUCAGCGGCAGCCAUCAUCGUCUAUGACAUCACAAAAGAAGAGACAUUUUCAACGUUGAAGAACUGGGUGAGAGAGCUCCGCCAGCACGGCCCCCCUAGCAUUGUUGUUGCCAUUGCAGGGAACAAAUGCGAUCUUAGCGAUGUCAGAGAAGUCAUGGAGAGAGAUGCGAAGGACUACGCCGACUCCAUUCAUGCCAUCUUUGUAGAGACCAGCGCAAAGAAUGCAAUAAACAUAAAUGAACUCUUUAUAGAAAUUAACAGACAGAAAGCCUCUCUCUGCCUGGUGCUGUGCCACAGAGAUCUGGGAGUGCCACAGUGGAAAACAGGCAAGACUGGAGGGCCCGGUCUAGUAUGAGGAUGCCAGUCACACAGAAAACAAGUCCAGCAUGUUGCUGAUGUCCUGGUGCUUUAUGGCCGAAGAAUUCCAUCCACAGAUGCCAACCCGCCGUCCGGCGGCAAGGGCUUCAAACUCCGAAGACAGCCAUCAGAGCCAAAGCGAAGCUGCUGCUGAUGACCCAGGCCCCACACUGAUGAAGAAGCAGGUGGUCCUGGACGGUGCAGGAGGACCAGUCCCUGCCAUUGGCAACCGCCUCGUGCCCUGGAGUCUUCUUCAUGCAAAAAGGACUCAGAGGAACUGGCUGUUGGGUUCUCUUGGAAAACUGCAGCAGGUGUUUCCAUCUGCAGACUUCUGGUGCGGACUCUGGCUUGCAAAGGGACCACAUCCUUGGCUAUUGACCUAGCUGAAAGGAGCAUCUGAUAUAUGGAUGGUAGGAUUGAAUUGCUGGUGCUUUUGUAAUCAGGAUGUCAUGUAUCAUUUGUAAAGGGAAAUGAGCACUUUCAUGGAUCUUAAGGGAAAAGGCUACGGAGAUGGUCAUCUCCUUGGUCCUUGUCUCUAGUGUCAGCGUUGCGUCAUUUAAGAUAUAGAAAGUGAUCACAGUGGAGGGACGCUUGUUCCUGGGACAGUCUCCACCAUCUCUAAAGCACUUUCCUACACAGUAAAUUAACACACAGCGGCAGCCUGACUCACCUUGGGUUUACUUCUGACCCUGUUUAUGUCACCACAUAUUAUUAGUUUUAUCAUUACCUUUCUAAAUAAGUUCUUGUGGCCCAGGGAAUGGUGUAGAGACACUCCUUGGAGCCAGUUGAGUUACAUGUGUCUACACUGAUAAACAGUGGUUUAAAAGGAAGAGAGAAAGAACAAAGGAAAUGGUUUUUUGUUUUUUGGCCCAGGUAUUUUAAUGGGGAAAAAAAAUGUGUGCUGCCUAGCAAAUGUAUAUUUGUAGUCUAUAUUUAUGAGACCGUUGCUUUAAAAUUAUAAAUUAUGUAAAUACAUUAAUAACUUCUGAAUUCUGUUCAGUACUCCAUUUAGUCCUAUACCCCGUCUCACGUGUGCCGCCCCCCCCCCCUUUUUCAGCUGGUCCACAGAAUAUUUUGAAGCACAUUCACCUUGUGCAGAAGCAUAGAGCACUUAGCUCACAGCCUGCUUCCUCUUCCCGAGCCCCUCUGCAUCCCAUCUGGAAAUGGUAAUAAAGACAUAUGCCUCCUGGACAAGCCUGACCAGUCCUUCCUAGCCUGGGGCGAGGGAGAGCCCAGCACCCGUCACUCACCUGGCUUUGACAGUAGCAAGCUCAAACCAACUGUGUUCAGAGUGCUUUGCUUGUUAACAGCCGGCUCACCUCGUCCUCCUUUAUUUUCUCUUGCCUCUGUUAGUGCUUUGCACUCUUUUCCCUCAGGAGCCUAAUGAGGUUCUUAAUAUAAUCUAAAAAUAAAGCCCCCAAGUGAAACUGCUGGAAAUUUGUUCCUGGCCUGAUUUGGCACCCUUCCAGCCCGAGUAUUGUAAGGGAAGGAAAUUUACAAGAUUAAAUAGGAAAUGAAACAGCUUGAAUUUCAAACCAAAUGUGUUUUCAGAGCGGUCCUUAACUGAACAGUCAAAACUUUUCAAAACAAUUGUUACUACUUUGUGCCACUCCCCUAUAUGCUUAAAAUGGAGAGGUGUUAACGGAGGGUGACCCAGGUGGCCCAGACUGAGCGAGGCCAUGUAAGCGUCAGUUGUUCAUCCUCACUGAGAUCAGGCUUCCAGCACCUUGUGUACUGAGCCUCCUGCACAGUGUCCAGUUCACACGCAUGUAGAGAAAACCCUGUGAUUUCCCGAGACUGGCUCCUUCCACCUGUGGUGGCUUGAUAGGACUUGACAUAGACCUGCAGGAGGGUGUGUCUCCAACAGUCCCACGCCAAACCUCCAUCUCCAGGACAAAACAAAAACAAAGCUGCUUGGCUCAUGUGGACAAGGCUGCCCAUGUGAGACCCUUUCUGACUUGUUUCACCUAAAGAUGGUAUAAAUUUAUCAUCUGAACAGCCCAGUAGAUUCUGGAAGUCGUGGCACAUCCCGUGGCUGAUCUCCUCUGUGGCACGUGGUAGCUUCUCUCGCUAACUCCCUCUCGUGCCACAUGUAGGGAGUGACUCUGGCCAUGGCUGCAUGUCUUACCAACAGGAUGAGCAGCAUGAACCCUCUGUUCGUGUCUUUCUUGCCCUCUCUGUCACCAGUCUGUCCAAGAAGGGGGCCGCCCUGCUUGUGGUAUCAUGUACUGCUUAAUGACAGCAGGUUCAGACUCCGUGAACACAGUGAGAUCUCCAUUUACUUUCUUAGAAAAUGCACAGUAAAAUGAAGUCAGACGUAGUGCUUUAUUUUGACCACAUUUCAGAUUAAAUAGGAAUCUAAUACAUUAUUUCUUAUUUUCCUGGGGUUUUUUCUUAAGAGAAAUAUCCAGACUCCAAGGGCAUUAAGACAUAGCCCCUCCAUAAAAAUCUGGUUCCCUAUGAUGCAGGGCCAUUUUUAAAAAUUUUGAAGACUGACCAGAAAGGGAAAGAUCUUUUAAUUAACUGCCAGUGUGUAUUGAUUUCUUUCAGAGAAAUUGACAUAAGCUCCUUGCAGGUGUCCAGUCCUAGCAACCACUGGUCUCUCCAUCUCUUCUUUUACAUAAGUGUUUUUCUGAUUCUGUGAUAACUAAUUAGCUAUCAUUUGAUGAUUAAAAGAACAUAAAGUGAGAGUCUGAUUAAGUGUCCUUCAGUGUAAACUCUGUGAGAAGUGAUUGGAGAGAAAUACCUACUGCAAGCCCUUCCGGUUCCCAGUGAAGCGCCAUUGCCUGCUUGUCAGCCGCACCCAAGACAAGCACUGUGCACGGCAACCGAAAGAUUUAUUGUAAAUUAACCUGGGUCCUUGUUCCCGUUUAUGAUGAUGUUUGAAGUACCCGCCUCCUCUCAUUGUGCUCCCGUUCCUUGGACGCCUACCCAGGUCAAAGGACCGAAAUUUUCUUAUGAGAGUCAUGGCUACUUGAAGAGGCCAGUGUUGUUGUUGAGAUUAGCUGUCCUCUGGAUUUUUAAAUAUGCCGGGGGAGUGGGGGUGGCCCACAUUGAAUUUUAGAACUUGUCUGUAAGUCUUACAUUUGUUCCUUGUCUCCAGGAGGAAAGUGGGUAUGGGGGCUUUCUAAAGCUCUUAAGAGACACAGCUCCAAGUGUCCUGUAGGUGGCUGUCACCUGGCACCCAAAGGGCUACCAAACCAGAGGGUCUGCUGCGGUAUUUCAAGGGUACCGUGUUUGAAUGGGUGGGUUCAGUUUGGGGUACACUGCAUGCCAGCACGUGGGCCUCCACAUCCCAAAAGGCAGUAGUUCACUGCCUUCUGUCUUUUCGAUUGCAGAAGAGGCUGAUGGGGUUCAGCUCAGCAUCCUCACUCAUUCUUUCAGAACCCACAGAGACUGUGACAUGUGGGCCCUUACACUAUGUGAUCUCUGUAACUGGCCCUUGGACACCCAUGUGUCUGCAGACCCUGCAGGGGUCAGGAGAGAACCCUCCUGGGCAAAGGUAGCUGGGACGCUUAGUUCUGCCCUAACCUCCAACCCUGCUUCAGAGCAUGGCAGCCGGACAGGUGGCUUGUAUCACAGAACUUAGCAGGCUCCUUAGCCUGAUUCUGGUGAGCACAGAAUGACAGUGGGGAGCUAGGUCAUGGAAUUCCUUGGAAGUCCUUUUUUAAAUUUGUUUUGAAGGGACAAACAACACAAUUUUUAAUUGUUUGAUUUCAUCAGUUUUUAAGGAAGAAAUCGGAUGUACCUUCAAGAUUCAAGCUGUUAACUAUGCCUUCCUUACGGCGGGGGUGGGGGGACUUGGUUGAUAAAAGGUGAUGGUUUAAGAUAGCCCAUGAAUGGUUUUUUUUAAUGGGUCGGUGAGAUGUCUCAGCAGGUAAAGGCACUUGCUGCCAAGGCUGAUGACACAAGGUCAAUCCCUGGAACCCUCAUAGUGGAAGGAGAAGAAGUCCACAAGUUGUCCUCCGAUCUCCACAUGUCCUCCCACACCACACACACAGACACAUCAACAAAUGUCAUAAUUAAAAAAAUAUCCUGAGCAGCCAGUUAUUUAGAAGACAAGCAGAACACAGUGCAGUUUUAAAAGAGGAAGAUCAGGUAGAGUUUAGCCUGAGACUUAGAAGAAUGGCCUCAGUGGAUUUCCUGUGACAGCGGAGAGGCUUGUCUCGACUUCAGUAAUAGAAAACCAGGCAGUUUGAUUAUCUGAUCUGCGAGAAAUGUUAAUGGAAUGCCAGGGCAUUUGUCCUGUUUUAUGUGCAAAUGAAACUCUAAAAAAUAUUAGAAGGGUAUUGCCCUUCUCAGGAGCCUUCCUUAUGCAUCUCAGAGGGUGAUGAGUGAGGGACCUACCCUGAUGAACUUCAUCAGAUGUGCUGAGAAGGGCAGAUGAAUAGAGCUUGGAAUCGUCGUAUUUCUCAGCUCGUCCUUCAGGAUGCUCUGAGCCUGGAGGAGUGAUUUACUCUCUGGAGCUAGGACUUCUACCAGCAUAGAUCAAGUUUAAUUUGAUGCUCUGUACCAUCAGAAAUAACUAAUAUCUGUGUUCUUUCCUCUCAGAGGGUAAUCAAUUAGAGAUGUGCUAGAAUAUUUUUGGCUUCAAAACAAAAGGAUUCGGAAAUUUAAUAAAAAAAAAAAAAAAACUCAGACCUUCCAUCGAUUCCUUUUCAUUAUGUUGAACAUUUCAGAUAGCAAGAUUAGAAUGUAUAAAUAGAUGGUGAGAUUAAAACCAUAAUGUCUAAAAAACUUGCAGAAAAAAAAUGUUUUAAUUUGCUGUGAGUUCAUUUUACAGUGUCCAGUGCCUCAUCAAAAUGCUGCAUAAUUACAACAAGCAAAAACCCGGGUAGCUCUCCACAGACAGGACUUAAGUGCCAAGCUCUGUCUGCCAAUUAAUAGAGAGUCCUAAGACAGUCAUGAUUUUUUUUUUUUUUUAAAGAGCCUCCUUUAAUUGACAGUCUUCAAGCAUGGGUCUUCAUGUCCUCCUUAAUGGCACUGUAGAAACAGCCUGCUGCUUUCCUCAGGCCACUUCUUGAUUCAGGAACUUGGCAGUGUUUAGAGGCAGGUUGUGUAUAGACAGUCCAUUGAAGUGAAUCAUCUUUACACAGAACUGACAUUGUCAAGGAGGCCCCAGGGCAUCUAAAACCAAGUUGUGUGUUUCAUCUACCACUCCACAAAGCAGGUUUUGAGUCACUUGCUCAACCAGGCUGGAGUCCACCCCAUGCUCCCCCGCUCCAGACCAUUGGGAGACCCUGCCCGCAGUACUGUUUGCUUUGAGGACUAGUCCUCACAUCAUUUGACCAUCUUUAACACUUGGCAUUUAUAUUUAAAUUAUCCUGAACUUUUUUCCCUCUCAUCCCUGUUUGAGGUUACUACAUGGUGCAUGAAACUUUCUCAACUUGGGUCAUGCCCAUGAUGUCAGAGGGACCAGUCAGAUUGGUGGGGGAGGAUGAAUGGCAGCUGAUCUGGGCUCUAUUUUUAAACCAUUUGUUGUGUUCUGUAGACAGAGCUUUAUUGCCCCAAGGAGGAUCUUUUUUAUUUUUUUAAACGUCCCACUCAGUCUUUCCAUCAUUGUACAUCAUGAGUCACUCACACCAUCAUCAAUCACUGCUCUGACCUUCAGAAAUUAUGGCCUGCCUUUUAUAUGGUUGACACUGAAUUCUUGCCUUACUCUUGAUUUUCUAUGGGCUCUCCCUCAGGCAUCCUGCCCCAGCCACCUCAGCACACAUGACCUGCCCUUCCCUGGGGAGUAAAGACACCCCCCCCAGGACUUCCAGAAGGGCAGCAGGCAGCAUGAGCCUACAAGGCAAACACAACUGAGUGACAGAAAGCAUUCUGUCCCAGGUGAUAGGACAGUGGGCUGACGUAUCAGACCCCCACGGAGUGUGGAGGAAAGCACUUGUUGAGUUUCCAAGUCCAAACAAAACAUCUAAACAGGAAGGAAAACCUGAGCCCUAGUACCAGCAAUCCUCCUUACUCCUGAGAGCGCCAUCCCUUUAUCCAGAUCCAGUGCAAGGAGUAAGUGCCUUGUGCCUUUUUUUAAAUAGCAUCUGUAUGAAAAUUGAGUUGUUCCUGGUUUCCCAAGCCUGGUAGCACUCUAAACAACCUGAACUGAAAGCCGAUGAUGGACUGCCUGGUUACCUGGAACACAAUACUGGAAUGAGGGUUUGCCAAGCCUGGAUGGGUGUUUGAUGACCAUUUUUGCAGUCUGACCUUGGGCUGGACCUAAGUCUAUGUAAACUGUAUGAUGUCUGUUUUGUUUGUAAACACUGAAAAAUGGACACUCCGCCUUUUGCUUUUUGUUGUAAGAUUUUUCUUUUGUGUACUUCUGUUUGCAGAUGGUAAAUCUGGAAUACUUUGGAACAGUGUUUCUUCAGCUUGACUUCUGUGUAUGCUUUUAUAGAGUAUGGCAUGCUCCAUCACUAUAAAAUUUGUGUCGAGAGAGGUGUAAACAUUUUGUUAAUAAAAUGCUAUGUUUACAGAUGCA